GUUCCCUUGAGGAGUGGCUUCCGGAGCUAACGCGUUAAAUCGACCGCCUGGGGAGUACGGCCGCAAGGUUAAAACUCAAAUGAAUUGACGGGGGCCCGCACAAGCGGUGGAGCAUGUGGUUUAAUUCGAUGCAACGCGAAGAACCUUACCUACUCUUGACAUCCAGAGAAUUUAGCAGAGAUGCUUUAGUGCCUUCGGGAACUCUGAGACAGGUGCUGCAUGGCUGUCGUCAGCUCGUGUUGUGAAAUGUUGGGUUAAGUCCCGCAACGAGCGCAACCCUUAUCCUUUGUUGCCAGCACAUUAUGGUGGGAACUCAAAGGAGACUGCCGGUGAUAAACCGGAGGAAGGUGGGGAUGACGUUAAGUCAUCAUGGCCCUUACGAGUAGGGCUACACACGUGCUACAAUGGCGUAUACAAAGAGAAGCGACCUCGCGAGAGCAAGCGGAACUCAUAAAGUACGUCGUAGUCCGGAUUGGAGUCUGCAACUCGACUCCAUGAAGUCGGAAUCGCUAGUAAUCGUAGAUCAGAAUGCUACGGUGAAUACGUUCCCGGGCCUCGUACACACCGCCCGUCACACCAUGGGAGUGGGUUGCAAAAGAAGUAGGUAGCUUAACCUUCGGGAGGGCGCUUACCACUUUGUGAUUCAUGACUGGGGUGAAGUCGUAACAAGGUAACCA
rnacentral:rRNA from 1 species